rnacentral:rRNA from 1 species
GAUGAACGCUGGCGGCAGGCCUAACACAUGCAAGUCGAGCGAGCGGCGGACGGGUGAGUAAUGUCUGGGAAACUGCCUGAUGGAGGGGGAUAACUACUGGAAACGGUAGCUAAUACCGCAUACCAUCAGAUGUUCCCAGAUGGGAUUAGCUAGUAGGUGGGGUAACGGCUCACCUAGGCGACGAUCCCUAGCUGGUCUGAGAGGAUGACAAGCCACACUGGAACUGAGACACGGUCCAGAUUCCUACGGGAGGCAGCGGGGGGGAAUAUGGCACAAUGGGCGCAAGCCUGAUGCAGCCAGGCCGCGUGGAUGAAGAAGGCCUUCGGGUUGUAAAGUACUUUAAGCGGGGAGGCGUUACCCGAAGAAGAAGCACCGGCUAACUCCGUGCCAGCAGCCGCGGUAAAC